UCCGUAGGUGAACCUGCGGAGGGAUCAUUACACAAAUAUGAAGGCGGGCUGGAACCUCUCGGGGUUACAGCCUUGCUGAAUUAUUCACCCUUGUCUUUUGCGUACUUCUUGUUUCCUUGGUGGGUUCGCCCACCACUAGGACAAACAUAAACCUUUUGUAAUUGCAAUCAGCGUCAGUAACAAAUUAAUAAUUACAACUUUCAACAACGGAUCUCUUGGUUCUGGCAUCGAUGAAGAACGCAGCGAAAUGCGAUAAGUAGUGUGAAUUGCAGAAUUCAGUGAAUCAUCGAAUCUUUGAACGCACAUUGCGCCCUUUGGUAUUCCAAAGGGCAUGCCUGUUCGAGCGUCAUUUGUACCCUCAAGCUUUGCUUGGUGUUGGGCGUCUUGUCUCUAGCUUUGCUGGAGACUCGCCUUAAAGUAAUUGGCAGCCGGCCUACUGGUUUCGGAGCGCAGCACAAGUCGCACUCUCUAUCAGCAAAGGUCUAGCAUCCAUUAAGCCUUUUUUUCAACUUUUGACCUCAGGAUCAGGUAGGGAUACCCGCUGGACUUAAGCAUAUCAAUAAGCGGAGGA
rnacentral:rRNA from 1 species